rnacentral:rRNA from 1 species
GGCUCAGGAUGAACGCUAGCGGCAGGCUUAAUACAUGCAAGUCGUGGGGCAGCAUGUGUAGCAAUACUUGAUGGCGACCGGCAAACGGGUGAGGAACACGUACACAACCUUCCUUCAAGCGGGGAAUAGCCCAGAGAAAUUUGGAUUAAUACCCCAUAAUAUAUUUGAUAAGGCAUCUUAUUAAUAUUAAAGCUUCGGCACUUGAUGAUGGGUGUGCGGCUGAUUAGAUAGUUGGCGGGGUAACGGCCCACCAAGUCUACGAUCAGUAGCUGAUGUGAGAGCAUGAUCAGCCACACGGGCACUGAGACACGGGCCCGACUCCUACGGGAGGCAGCAGUAAGGAAUAUUGGACAAUGGACGAAAGUCUGAUCCAGCCAUGCCGCGUGAAGGAUUAAGGUCCUCUGGAUUGUAAACUUCUUUUAUAUGGGACGAAAAAGGGCAUUCUUGUUCACUUGACGGUACCAUAUGAAUAAGCACCGGCUAACUCCGUG